GAUGAACGCUGGCGGCGUGCCUAAUACAUGCAAGUCGAGCGAACAGACGAGGAGCUUGUUCCUCUGACGUUAGCGGCGGACGGGUGAGUAACACGUGGAUAACCUACCUAUAAGACUGGGAUAACUUCGGGAAACCGGAGCUAAUACCGCAUAAUAUAUUGAACCGCAUGGUUCAAUAGUGAAAGACGCUUUUGCUGUCACUAAUAGAUGGAUCCGCGUCGCAUUAGCUAGUUGGUAAGGUAACGGCUUACCAAGGCAACGAUGCGUAGCCGACCUGAGAGGGUGAUCGGCCACACUGGAACUGAGACACGGUCCAGACUCCUACGGGAGGCAGCAGUAGGGAAUCUUGCGCAAUGGGCGAAAGCCUGACGGAGCAACGCCGCGUGGGUGAUGAAGGUCUUCGGAUCGUAAAACUCUGUUGUUGGGAAAGAACAAAUGUGUAAUUAACUAUGCACGUCUUGACGGUACCUAAUCAGAAAGCCACGGCUAACUACGUG
rnacentral:rRNA from 1 species